rnacentral:rRNA from 1 species
UACGGGGGGAGCAAGCGUUGUUCGGAUUUACUGGGCGUAAAGGGCGCGUAGGCGGCGUGACAAGUCACUUGUGAAAUCUCCGGGCUUAACUCGGAACGGUCAAGUGAUACUGUCGUGCUAGAGUACAGAAGGGGCAACUGGAAUUCUCGGUGUAGCGGUGAAAUGCGUAGAUAUCAGGAAGAACACCAAUGGCGAAAGCAGCUUUCUGGGACGGUACUGACGCUGAGACGCGAAAGCGUGGGGAGCGAACAGG